CACAUAGCGGGAGCCGGCCCCCGGCCCCCGCCCCGAGCAAUCGGGUUACCCUGCCUUCUGAGCACCAUUCGUUUCCUCGGCGGGCUUGCCCGCCACUGGGGACCCCAAAAACCUUUUGCAAUAAGCAGUAACUGUCAGUAAUGAAUUAUCA
rnacentral:misc_RNA from 1 species